AUACGUAGGUGACAAGCGUUAUCCGGAUUUACUGGGCGUAAAGGGCGUGUAGGCGGUCUUGCAAGUCAGAAGUGAAAUUCCUGAGCUCAACUCGGGCGCUGCUUCUGAAACUGCAGGACUUGAGUGCUGGAGGGGAUAGCGGAAUUCCUAGUGGAGCGGUAAAAUGCGCAGAUAUUAGGAAGAACACCGGUGGCGAAGGCGGCUAUCUGGACAGUAACUGACGCUGAGGCGCGAAAGCGUGGGGAGCAAACAGGAUUAGAUACCCUGGUAGUCCACGUCGUAAACGAUGAAUACUAGGUGUAGGGGGUAUCGACUCCCUCUGUGCCGCAGUUAACACAAUAAGUAUUCCGCCUGGGGAGUACGGCCGCAAGGUUGAAACUCAAAUGAAUUGACGGGG
rnacentral:rRNA from 1 species